rnacentral:rRNA from 1 species
AGCGAACAUUGGCGGUAGGCUUAACACAUGCAAGUCGGGCGAGGCGUAAUAGUCGAGCGGCGAACGGGUGCGUAAUACAUGGGAAUCUACCCUGAAGUGGGGGAUAACGUCCAGAAAUGGACGCUAAUACCGCAUAAUCCACAUUGGGAAAGCGUUGCAGCGCUUUAGGAUGAGCCCAUGGCUGAUUAGCUAGUUGGUGAGGUAAUGGCUCACCAAGGCGACGAUCGGUAGCUGGUCUGAGAGGAUGAUCAGCCACACUGGAACUGAGACACGGUCCAGACUCCUACGGGAGGCAGCAGUGGGGAAUCUUGCGCAAUGGGGGCAACCCUGACGCAGCCAUACCGCGUGAGUGAUGAAGGUCUUCGGAUUGUAAAGCUCUUUCGGCGGGGACGACGAUGACGGUACCCGCAAAAGAAGUCACGGCUAACUUCGUGCCAGCAGCCGCCGUAA